UGGGACACAGAGGGGGCUCCGAGACCGGGAUUGAUUCGGGUUAAUGUAUUGGGAGCUGGACAUUGAACUGUGCAAUCAUUCCAUUUGUGGAGAUGUCCAUAUGUUGGCAAAUAUUUGAUGGACCAAUCCAAGAGUGACCAACUGCUUCUCACACCCAGCAGUUUCUUAAGGUUUAGAAAAUUACCCACUCGAGAUCAGAAAUGGACGGAUACAGGUCGGCAAAUGAGGGAGAGACAGAUCGAGUGAAGCAUACAUUCAUAAACUAAAAGUAAAUUAAGGUACAAGUAUUUUAUAAAAACUUCCUCCGUAUUGUGUACUUCAUUUUCCAAUGUAAAACACACCUUUGUUUGGAAAUUGGCGGGAUUUUCCAAUUG